rnacentral:rRNA from 1 species
CGGAGGUCCCAAGCGUUGUUCGGAUUCACUGGGCGUAAAGGGUGCGUAGGCGGUCGGGUAAGUCUGAUGUGAAAUCUUCAAGCUCAACUUGGAAACUGCAUCGGAUACUAUUCGGCUAGAGGAAUGGAGGGGAGACUGGAAUACUUGGUGUAGCAGUGAAAUGCGUAGAUAUCAAGUGGAACACCAGUGGCGAAGGCGAGUCUCUGGACAUUUCCUGACGCUGAGGCACGAAAGCCAGGGGAGCAAACGGGAUUAGAUACCCCGGUAGUCCUGGCCCUAAACGGUGCGCAUUUGCUGUAAGAGGAAUCGACCCCUUUUGUGGCGAAGCUAACGCGAUAAAUGCGCCGCCUGGGAAGUACGGCCGCAAGGUUA